rnacentral:rRNA from 1 species
GGUGAACCAGCGGAGGGAUCAUUACCGAGUUAUACAACUCAUCAACCCUGUGAACAUACCUAAAACGUUGCCUCGGCGGGAACAGACGGCCCCGUAACACGGGCCGCCCCCGCCAGAGGACCCCCUAACUCUGUUUCUAUAAUGUUUUUUCUGAGUAAACAAGCAAAUAAAUCAAAACUUUCAACAACGGAUCUCUUGGCUCUGGCAUCGAUGAAGAACGCAGCGAAAUGCGAUAAGUAAUGUGAAUUGCAGAAUUCAGUGAAUCAUCGAAUCUUUGAACGCACAUUGCGCCCGCCAGUAUUCUGGCGGGCAUGCCUGUUCGAGCGUCAUUACAACCCUCAGGCCCCCGGGUCUGGCGUUGGGGAUCGGCGGAAGCCCCCUGUGGGCACAACGCCGUCCCCCAAAUACAGUGGCGGUCCCGCCGCAGCUUCCAUUGCGUAGUAGCUAACACCUCGCAACUGGAGAGCGGCGCGGCCACGCCGUAAAACACCCAACUUCUGAAUGUUGACCUCGAAUCAGGUAGGAAUACCCGCUGAACUUAA